rnacentral:rRNA from 1 species
GAUGAACGCUAGCGAUAGGCUUAACACAUGCCAGUCGAGGGGCAGCAUGGUCUUAGCUUGCUAAGACUGAUGGCGACCGGCGCACGGGUGCGUAACGCGUAUGCAACUUGCCUCACAGAGGGGGAUAACCCGUCGAAAGACGGACUAAUACCGCGUACACUUGGGAUAGGGCAUCCUGACCCAAGGAAAUGAAAUUCGCUGUGAGAUAGGCAUGCGUCCCAUUAGCUAGUUGGUGAGGUAACGGCUCACCAAGGCGACGAUGGGUAGGGGAACUGAGAGGUUGAACCCCCACACUGGUACUGAGACACGGACCAGACUCCUACGGGAGGCAGCAGUGAGGAAUAUUGGUCAAUGGGCGAGAGCCUGAACCAGCCAAGUCGCGUGAAGGAUGACUGUCUUAUGGAUUGUAAACUUCUUUUAUACGGGAAUAACAAGAGCCACGUGUGGCUCCCUGCAUGUACCGUAUGAAUAAGCAUCGGCUAACUCCGU